GAUGAAGAACGUAGCGAAAUGCGAUACUUGGUGUGAAUUGCAGAAUCCCGUGAACCAUCGAGUCUUUGAACGCAAGUUGCGCCCGAAGCCAUUAGGCCGAGGGCACGCCUGCCUGGGCGUCACACGUCGUUGCCCCCCCAUCUACUCCUUCGGGAUUGCGGGGGGCGGAUGAUGGCCUCCCGUGCGCCUUGUCGCGCGGUUGGCAUAAAUGCCAAGUCCUCGGCGACGCACGCCACGACAAUCGGUGGUUGCGAAACCUCGGUUGCCCGUCGUGUGCGGUCGUCGCGCAUCGAGGGCUCGUAAAAAUUGUCGGGCUCCGGCUCGGCUUUCAACGCGACCCCAGGUCAGGCGGGGUUACCCGCUGAAUUUAAGCAUAUCAAUAAGCGGAGGA
rnacentral:misc_RNA from 1 species